GGUAUUUCAAUUUCCACUUCCUUUUUCCCAGAACCUACCUUCCUUCUCUUCAACUUCGAAUGAAUAAUCUCCACCUUGGCUGCCUAAUGAAUAAUUAUGUGCUUCGUCAUCAACUUUAUUUCCCAGACCCUACUGUCGGCCCACCUCAAAUACUCAUUCGCAAGCCGCCGUCGAAUAAAGCAAACCUCCUUUUGAUUUUUGUGAAUCGUUGUUGUGAACCCGGAAACUAAAUGUUACGUAUUCGUUAUUAUUUGCUGUUUUUAUCAAUUUUGUGCCAAAUAUUGGUCCCUUCAACCUCCAGUCGUCACCAGUCCCGUCGGGAACUCCUCCAGAACGGUAAUGUCUCCAACCGUUGCCCGUUAGACUUUGGUGUUUUACGGAGAGGCAAGAGGCCCAGUAACUUGGAUACCCGUUCGGAAUGCCAGUAUAUUAAACAGGGCAUCCGGCUUGUUGAAUCUGAGUAUAUACGAGUCACCAGCUCCUUUCUCCCGCCGCCAGACUCGGCCGAAUCAUGCUGGGACUCGUAUGAGUCUCUGGUCAACGAGUAUGAACCCAACUUCGACAUACGCAGUCGGUGUGGUUUCGAGACGGAGUGGAUUGCCCGUGGCUGUAUGAACAUCACGACACGAUCCGAGUUCGAAUCCUUCAUCCCGCGAAACGACCUCGACGACGUCAUUUCAGCAUGUAACCAUUCCCUCCUGAACGGCUCCCCUUGUGCCACCUGUACCACCGCCCUUUCAAGGCUUCAGGCCUCGUACCUUACCGGCCCGUCAAUUGGGAACGUCUCCGACUGUACGGCCUACCCUUUUAUCUACGUCGCUGCUUUUGCAAAUCACUUUGGGCCCACCAAUGAAGGUACAGCAAAGUGCUUAUUCAAUCUCGAUUUUGCAUCACACAGGUCGAGUGGUAAGAAGAAAAAAGUUGUAAUCCCGGUAGGCUUGUCGAUAUCUGCGGUGGUUUUGAUUCUGGGUUUUUUAGGGUUUUGGUUUUUCCGGCGAAGAAGGAAGAAAUUUUUGAAGCGAAAGUUGACAAAGGCUACGAAAGAGGUUAGCUUAACUUCCGGGUUGGAUUCGAUUAAUGGGAGCACUACAUUAAUUAGGUUCAAAUUUGAUGAAAUUAAGGCGAUCACGAAGAACUUCUCAAGGGAGCAUAUAAUUGGGAGAGGAGGGUAUGGGAAUGUGUACAAAGGAGUGUUACCAGAUGGGUCUGAAGUGGCACUGAAGAGGUUCAAGAAUUGUUCUGCUUCUGGUGAUGCGAGUUUCAUGCACGAAGUGGAAGUUAUUGCCAGCAUUAGACAUGUGAAUUUGGUGGCGUUGAGAGGGUAUUGUACAGCGACAACCCCUUUUGAGGGGCACCAAAGGAUAAUUGUGUGUGACUUGUUGAAGAAUGGGAGUGUUCAUGAUCAUCUAUUUGGGUUGGUGGAGAAGAAGUUGAGUUGGCCUAUACGUCAGAAGAUAGCUCUUGGGACAGCUAAAGGGUUGUCUUAUUUGCAUUAUGGUGCCCAACCGGCAAUUAUUCAUAGGGAUAUCAAGGCUAGUAAUAUACUCUUGGAUGAGAGGUUUGAGCCUAUGGUAGCGGACUUUGGAUUAGCAAAGUUUAACCCAGAGGGAUUGACUCACUUCAGUACUAGGGUGGCUGGGACAAGGGGAUAUGUAGCGCCUGAGUAUGCAUUGUAUGGACAAUUGACUGAGAGAAGUGAUGUUUAUAGCUUUGGAGUAGUGCUUCUUGAGCUUUUGAGCGGGAAGAAAGCUCUGAUAGCUGUUAAUGAUAGCCCACCUAGCCUCAUCACUGAUUGGGCAUGGUCUCUGGUUAGGAAUGGGAGACCAUUGGAUGUUGUUGAAGAUAUGCCAGAUUUGGGUCCUCCCGAUGUUGUGGAGAAGUAUGUGUUAGUGGCUGUUCUUUGUUCGCAUCCGCAAUUGCAUGCUAGGCCGACAAUGGACCAAGUUGUUAAAUUGUUAGACACUGAUGUAUCAAUUCCUUCCAUACCAGAAAGACCUAUAUCUCUCAUAGCAAAUAUUGAUGAUAUUGAGCGAUUAGCAAGCAGCAGCGGCUCUGGUAACUUGUCAACGCCUGCUGGUUAUCAGCAUUAUACUUUUGAUGAAGACCAUCCUCAGACACCCAAGAAGGAUAGUGAGAACUCUGACGGCAAAUAAUUUGGUACUUGGACGAGAAUGUCAAUAGAACUUCAUACUGCAAUUUGCUUCCUUGAAUUACUAUGCGUAGCUCAUUCUUUUGUUCAUUUAGAUAGAUUGAAUGGUACGUUGAUCUGGAAUCACCGACACCCUACUGUACAAGAGCUUCUCACGGCUGCUACGCGUAGAAGUAUAUAGAUCAAUAAGGAUGGUGGAUACUAGCAAUUAGUUUAUGCUAUUAGGACGGAAGAUUCAAGAGUUCUCAGAUGCACCAUGGGGCUUUGCAUAUUAAAGUAUCUUAUGCACGAAAAGGUUAUCACUCAGCAGCAGCGAACGACUGCUCGGUGGUACUGUAUUCAUUUUUACAUUGCCGCCUGAAUUCGCAUUUCGAGUUUCUCAAAAAGAUCGCUUGCGAGUUGCGAUAUGCUUUCUCUUCCUAUUGUGAGGUUGCUGGCUUUGCAACUUCGCCUAGCAUGGUCCAACAAUUUCACUAGCUUGCAUAGAGUUGGUAGUAUAGUCCGCGUAGCAAUCAAGAACACGGGUUCAACAAUUUGAUGUUUCACGAAAGCACUGAACAAAAACUGAAGAAAACUUCUUCAUUUUGUCUCAACGUGUUUAAGGGCUCAGCUUGCAGUGUUAGUGCUUUUAUUUUUGCUUCUAUUUUUGCUUCUACUUCUGCUUUAUUUGAGGUGCCAACUUGUCAAAGCCCGUUUAGCCUUUUAUGCUCAUGCUUCCUGGAUCAUGAUAUUAAUGAGGUCCAUGUUUUUCUUGCCCAAAUUUGUUGAUAUUCUCAAUAUUGAGUUUCUAGGAUUUCCAUAGUUCACUUGUUUAUUGGUGCAAUAAGUACCAUAUUUGGCUCCUUAAUUGGUGCAAAAUGUUUGAAAAUCUUACAUAAUUAGAAGUCUUCGAUUAUCA